UAGCAGUGAAAUGCGUUGAUAUCGGAAGGAACACCAAGAGCGAAGGCAGGAAACUAAUCGAAGUCUGACGCUGAGGCACGACAGCUAGGGGAGCGAAGCAGAUUAGAGACCUGCGUAGUCCUAGCCGUAAACGCAUCCCUGCUAGAUGCUUUGAGUUAUAUCAGAGUGUCGUAAGUUAACACGUUAAGCAGGGCGCCUGGGGAGUACGGUCGCAAGGCUAAAACUCAAAGGAAUUGGCGGGGACCCGCACAACCGGUGGAGCAUGUGGUUUAAUUCGAGACGAAGCGAAAGACCUCACCACGGUUUGACAUGCUAUCGUACAGCUUUCUGGAAACAGGAAGUAAUUCGCAAGAAUGAUAGCAAAGCUGCUGCAUGGCUGUCGUCAGCUCGUACCGUGAGGUGUUCCCUUAAGUGGGGUAACGAGCGCAACCCUUUUCCCGAGUUAGAUAUGUCUCGGGAGACUGCUUCGCCUUUGGCGAGGAGGAAGGAGAGGAUGACGUCAAGUCAGCACGGCGCCUAUGCCGUGGGCCACACACAUCCUACAAUGGCGAAGAACAAUGAGUCGCGAGAGGGUGACCUUAAGCAAAUCUCUGAAAUUUCGCCUCAGUUGGGAUUGGAGUCUGCAACUCGACUCCAUGAACGCGGAAUCGGUAGUAAUCGCGGAUCAGCAGGCCGCGGUGAAUACGUUCUCGGGUCUUGCACACACCGCCCGUCAAGCCAACAAAGUCGAGGGUAGCCGAUGCCCGCCAUCUGGCGGGUGAAGCUAAACUCGGUGAUGGGGACUAAGUCGUAACAAGGUAUCCCUACUGGAAGGUGGGGAUGGAUCACCUCCUUUCUA
rnacentral:rRNA from 1 species